UCGUGACACCACGACGUCUGUUGCUGGCAUAAAGCUAAUCUACUUUAAGUGCAGUUCAAAUAUUGUGCGCAAUGUGGAAUUAGUUGGAAGGAACGUUUUAAAAUAGGUGGUUCAGGUUUGAGAAUAUGCAUCGUGAAUUUUAAGUCUAGAUUUUUGUGAAGUGUCAUGGAUUUCAAAAUGAUGUUUUGAUAAGUGUCAUUCCGUGCUAGGUCAACAGGUGUGGAACCAUUCACGACCAGUUUCUACGAUUUGACAUUUUAAUCCCGUUGUGUGGUUACAUCAUACCCAUGUGCAAAUAUUGAUUAAAUACAUAUUUAAACAAUGAAAUAAAAACAGUCAUUUUCGUCAUGU